AUCCAGCUAACGAGUCCCAAAUAGGACGAAACGCCCAUCCUGGAU
rfam:Schistosoma mansoni strain Puerto Rico chromosome W, complete genome